AUUGAACGCUGGCGGCAGGCCUAACACAUGCAAGUCGAGCGGAGCGGCGGACGGGUGAGUAAUGCCUAGGUAUCUGCCUUGUAGUUGGGGAUAACGUACGGAAACGGGCGCUAAUCCCGAAUACUAUCAGAUGAGCCUAGGUCGGAUUAGCUAGCUGGUGGGGUAAAGGCCUACCAAGGCGACGAUCCGUAACUGGGCUGAGAGGAGGAUCAGUCACACUGGAACUGAGACACGGUCCAGACUCCUACGGGAGGAAGCAGUGGGGAAGAUUGGACAAUGGGCGAAAGCCUGAUCCAGCCAUGCCGCGUGUGUGAAGAAGGUCUUCGGAUUGUAAAGCACUUUAAGUUGGGAGGCGUUACCAAAAGAAUAAGCACCGGCUAACUUCGUGCCAGCAGCCGCGGGAAUAC
rnacentral:rRNA from 1 species